rnacentral:rRNA from 1 species
UACGUAGAAGACUAGUGUUAUUCAUCUUUAGUAGGUUUAAAGGGUACCUAGACGGUAUUACUAGCCCAAGAUAGGGUACGGUAUUGCUAGAGUUUUAUAUGAGAAGGGGAGUAUUCAUGGAGUAGAGAUAAAAUUUUUUUGAUACCAUGACGGACUGGCAGCGGCGAAAGCAACCUUUUAUCUAAUAACUGACGUUGAGGGACGAAGGCUUGGGUAGCAAACAGG